rnacentral:rRNA from 1 species
AUGGCCGUGGCCACCACCUCUCCUAUGCUCGGCGCUCUCCUCCUCCUCGCCCUCUUCUCGGCGGCCGGCGUCCACGGCGCCGCGCCUUCUUCACCGCUGGACCAGCUGUGCGGCAGCCUGGGCAGCUUCUACGUCACGCCGGAGCUCUGCGCGUCCGCGCUCUGCGUCGACGCAUCCUCCUGCCGCUCCGCGCGCGGCGCGCCGGAGCUCGCGGCGCUCGCGACUAGGCUGGCGGCGGCCAACGCCACGGCGGCGAAGGCCAGCAUCGAGUCCGCGCUCGCCCUCGACGCGGAGCGCGUCCCGGCGCCGGCCUCGGCGGCGGACGCCGACGCCAGGAAGGGCAUGCGGUCGUGCCUGCAGCUCUACGCCGGCGCCGUCCCGGCGCUGCAGUGGGCGGCGCGGUCCGUCGCCGCGGGGCGAUACAGCGGCGCGCGGGAGGUGCUGGAGGCGGCGCAGUACGUCGCGUCCGGGUGCGCCGGCAUGGCUGGCGAGGCGACGCUGCCCAAGGAGAACGACCGGUUCAGCUCCAUGGCCAUCGUCGCGCACGCCGUCGUUGCAUCCAUGUCUACCACCUGA